GGGGAAUAUUGGACAAUGGGCGCAAGCCUGAUCCAGCAAUGCCGCGUGUGUGAAGAAGGCCUGCGGGUUGUAAAGCACUUUUGUCCGGAAAGAAAUCAUCCGAGUUAAUACCUUGGAUGGAUGACGGUACCGGAAGAAUAAGCACCGGCUAACUUCGUGCCAGCAGCCGCGGUAAUACGAAGGGUGCAAGCGUUAAUCGGACUUACUGGGCGUAAAGGGUGCGUAGGUGGUCUGUUAAGUCGGAUGUGAAAGCCCCGGGCUCAACCUGGGAACUGCAUCCGAUACUGGCGGACUUGGAGUCUUGGAGAGGGUGGUGGAAUUCCUGGUGUAGCGGUGAAAUGCGUAGAGAUCAGGAGGAACACUAGUGGCGAAGGCGGCCACCUGGCCAAAGACUGACGCUGAGGCACGAAAGCGUGGGGAGCAAAC
rnacentral:rRNA from 1 species